UUCAAGAGUUCACAGAAUCUACGGAGGUGCCAGCGUUGGGCUUGGAGACUAUGUCAUGAGAAGCAAUGCCCAAAUCACCCCAUGAGCCUGGUCAGUAAAAAACCUACUUCUUCCACCCUUAGGCACAGACACCUCAUCCCAGGACAGAUGCUGGACACCGAAUAUGGGCCCCUGCCACUGUUGCCACCCAUCAGGACAUCUCUUCAUCACUGCUGGCUGGAAAAGCACUUCUCCACUCUGUCUUUUUGCCCUCUUUUCACAUGGACACCUCUCUUGAGUGCAUCUAGCUUUUUAAGCCCAAGGCUAGGAAAGAUUUUAACCGGACCACUAAUGUCAGAAAGGAUGCCAAUACACUCAGUGGAGAGCUGCUGCUCAUUUUCCCUGCGCAAGAUACAGAAAUCUGGAAUUCAAAGAGGUACACGAUUAUACCCUUUACCUUAAAGAGCUUAUAAUCAGUGGUAAACAGACAGAGGAAACAUAAUCAUGAGAAAAUCCCAGCAGAAGGCAUCCUUUUCUACUAUUUGCCACUUACUGCAGAUAAAGAGGAUGCCUAAUUCACCAUGGGCUGGGAUGAUGGGGAAUUCCAUCCCUGGGGCAGAGGCUAGUGUGGCAGGGGUUGUUGUGGGGUGUGUGUGUCUGUGUGUGUGUGCAUGCACACAUGUGUGUAUGCUUGUGUGAAGAAGACCAAAGCAUUAAGGAAAGAAAACAAGGUAGCAAAGGGUAGCUGGAGGACUGAGUAUGUACAGCCUGACAUGAGACAUAGAGUUAGGAUUGAGUCUAUAGGUUAAAGUGAACCCCACCAUCUCAUCUGGCACUUCAGAUCACAAGGCCUUUACUAUUUCCAUCUUGCUUUUUCCUAAGUGGGUGUAAUUUCUAUACAGGUUCACCAAACCAGGAACUCUACAAUAUUUGGGACAAAAGCCUUUGUUAUCUCCCCAUUGUUCAUUUCCAGGAAGUUCUAUCAAUGUUAAAAAAAAAAAAAAAAAAAAAAGCUUCUAACAUGUGCAUUUGGGUCAGUAUUCUUCUAAAGGUGAAGAAUAAAGGGACUCAGCCCUAGAAGAAUAUCCUCUAAUUACUAGCUCGCUAUUUUGAUCUUUGGCUUCGAAGUAAAUGGCUUCCCUUUUGGUCAUUUAUUGAUUUCCUCUUUGAAAAUUUUUUGUUCCCAUAUAUCAUCAUUUUGCACACAUCUUGCCAGACCCCUGUUCUCGAUUGCUAUUAUAAAUUUUUCCUUCUUCUCAUACAUUGUUCAAGCCAUUUUCUGAGUUAAAACAGAUAAAUAAGAAACUAUUUAUUUAUUUAUUUCUUCCAGAUGUCUUUGCUGGACCUGAAACCGCCAUUUCCUAAACUUAUCGUAUUUGUAUAGUCAAAAAUUAUUUUUAACUUUGCUUGGCUUGCAUUUAAAUUUUCUUUCUUUCUUUCUUUUUUCCCUGGGAAGUGUCCUAGUCUGCUUUUCUUAAAUGCCUUUCCCAUAAUUUAAUGAAAAGGGACAAAAGUAGAGGGAAGACAUUGAACAAUGGCCAAUGGGGAGGAUAAAAAAAAUACCCUUUACAUGUGGUGACUUUGAAAGAUUAACUUUUCAAGUGUAACCAUACAUAUAAAACCACUACUGUUUUUGUUGCUUUAAAAGCAUAGGGUAAGAGUUCUCUUUGAAAUGAUUAUUAAAACUAUUAAAUAAUUAUGUAUACCCUUGUUAUUAUGUCAGUUUAAAGGUUUAUUACACUGGGUAAAUCCGAGGAACAUAUUGGCUGGUAAGCCGGUUGUUUUCUGGUUUCAGGUGGAAUUGAAAUUCAGCUACAUUUUAUUCAGAAACUAAAUUCAGCUACAUUUUAUUCAGAAACUAAAUGAUGCUAUUUACCAUUACAUAGGACUUCUCUUAGCAACCAAUUUUCUUUAUGCGACUAAAGAUAAUGUUAGUAGGAGCCUCAAUGUCUGGUUAUAAUGUAUUCAAAGCCAGCAUACUUGAGAAGAAGUCUGUGAGUAAGAAUGUUCCAGUUGUCUUUGUGUUAGUAGCUUUAAUCCAGGGAUGAUAAGGAAGGGAAAGGAAUUAACAUGAACUAGGGACCACUAAUAAGCCAGGCAUUUUUACAUUUUAUGAUUUCUAUACUCCCUAUAAAGCCACAUUUUAUCUUCCUUUCUUUGAGUUGAAGACUCUGAGGCUCAGAGAGGUCAAGUCACUUGCAUAAGGUCACACAGCUAGUAAAUGGCUGAGCAGAGGUGGACUUUAGAUGUAUCUGACUGUAAGGAUUGCCAUUCUUCCACUGAAAACCAAUGCCUCUACCUGAAUGGAAGGGUAUCUUUUUUGGUAGGAAGGAGAUAUAUUAUAGAAUGGGG
ensembl:lncRNA